rnacentral:rRNA from 1 species
GACGAACGCUGGCGGCGUGCCUAAUACAUGCAAGUUGAGCGCUGAAGGUUGGUACUUGUACCAACUGGAUGAGCAGCGAACGGGUGAGUAACGCGUGGGGAAUCUGCCUUUGAGCGGGGGACAACAUUUGGAAACGAAUGCUAAUACCGCAUAAAAACUUUAAACACAAGUUUUAAGUUUGAAAGAUGCAAUUGCAACACUCAAAGAUGAUCCCGCGUUGUAUUAGCUAGUUGGUGAGGUAAAGGCUCACCAAGGCGAUGAUACAUAGCCGACCUGAGAGGGUGAUCGGCCACAUUGGGACUGAGACACGGCCCAAACUCCUACGGGAGGCAGCAGUAGGGAAUCUUCGGCAAUAGACGAAAGUCUGACCGAGCAACGCCGCGUGAGUGAAGAAGGUUUUCGGAUCGUAAAACUCUGUUGGUAGAGAAGAACGUUGGUGAGAGUGGAAAGCUCAUCAAGUGACGGUAACUACCCAGAAAGGGACGGCUAACUACGUG